GACGAACGCUGGCGGCGUGCUUAACACAUGCAAGUCGAACGGAUCCAGUAGCAAUAUUGGGUUAGUGGCGAACGGGUGUGUAACACGUGACCAAUCUGCCCCGGACUGGGGGAUAACGGAGGGAAACUUCCGCUAAUACCGCAUAUUGAGCGCGGGUCGCAUGGCCUGCUCUUGAAAGCUCCGGCGGUCCGGGAUGAGGUCGCGCCCCAUUAGCUUGUUGGCGGGGUAAUGGCCCACCAAGGCUCCGAUGGGUAGCUGGUCUGAGAGGACGAUCAGCCACACUGGGACUGAGAUACGGCCCAGACUCCUACGGGAGGCAG
rnacentral:rRNA from 1 species